CUACGGGGGGCUCCAGUGGGGAAUAUUGCACAAUGGGCGGAAGCCUGAUGCAGCCAUACCGCGUGUGUGAAGAAGGCCUUAGGGUUGUAAAGCACUUUCAGUCGUGAGGAAAGGGGUGUAGUUAAUACCUGCAUCCUGUGACGUUAGCGACAGAAGAAGCACCGGCUAAUUCCGUGCCAGCAGCCGCGGUAAUACGGAAGGUGCGAGCGUUAAUCGGAAUUACUGGGCGUAAAGCGCGCGUAGGUGGUUCAGUCAGUCAGAUGUGAAAGCCCCGGGCUCAACCUGGGAACUGCACCUGAUACUGCGGGACUUGAGUACGGUAGAGGGUAGUGGAAUUUCCUGUGUAGCGGUGAAAUGCGUAGAUAUAGGAAGGAACACCAGUGGCGAAGGCGACUACCUGGACCGAUACUGACACUGAGGUGCGAAAGCGUGGGGAGCAAACAGGAUUAGAUACCCUUGUAGUC
rnacentral:rRNA from 1 species